GACGAACGCUGGCGGCGUGCUUAACACAUGCAAGUCGAGCGGUAAGGCCCUUUCGGGGGUACACGAGCGGCGAACGGGUGAGUAACACGUGGGUGACCUGCCCUCAGCUCUGGGAUAAGGCCUGGGAAACCGGGUCUAAUACUGGAUAUGACUCCAUGACGCAUGGUUGGUGGGGUGGAAAGCCUUGUGCGGCUGAGGAUGGGCCCGCGGCCUAUCAGCUUGGUUGGUGGGGUGANGGCCUACCAAGGCGACGACGGUAGCCGGCCUGAGAGGGCGACCGGCCACACUGGGACUGAGACACGGCCCAGACUCCUACGGGAGCAGCAGUGGGAAUCUUGCGCAAUGGGCGAAAGCCUGACGCAGCGACG
rnacentral:rRNA from 1 species